UUGGAGGGCAAGUCUGGUGCCAGCAGCCGCGGUAAUUCCAGCUCCAAUAGCGUAUAUUAAAGUUGUUGCAGUUAAAAAGCUCGUAGUUGAAUUUCGGGGUCAGUAGUUUGGUCGUGCCACUGGUAUGUACUGGGCUCACUGAUUCCUCCUUCCUGAUGAACUGUAAUGCCAUUAAUUUGGUGUUGCAGGGAAACUGGACUGUUACUUUGAAAAAAUUAGAGUGUUUAAAGCAGGCUAACGCUUGAAUACAUUAGCAUGGAAUAAUGAAAUAGGACGUUUGAUCCUAUUUUGUUGGUUUCUAGGAUUGACGUAAUGAUUAAUAGGGAUAGUUGGGGGCAUUAGUAUUCAAUUGUCAGAGGUGAAAUUCUUGGAUUUAUUGAAGACUAACUACUGCGAAAGCAUUUGCCAAGGAUGUUUUCAUUAAUCAAGAACGAAAGUUAGGGGAUCGAAGACGAUCAGAUACCGUCGUAGUCUUAACCAUAAACUAUGCCGACUAGGGAUCGGAUGAUGUUAAUUUUUUAAUGACUCAUUCGGCGCCUUACGGGAAAC
rnacentral:rRNA from 1 species